UACAGUCGCCGCUUCCUCAUGUUCAUUCCCCAAAAUUCAGCAAAUGAAUUCAAAAUCAACAUCGCCUUGAUUCAUCACAUCCAUCAAUCAUCAUCAACACAACAUCACUGCCCGGCUCAUCAUCAUCCAUCAAUCAUAGCAUCACAACAUCGCAACGGUGGCUGCACUUCUCUGCAAGUUUCAAUUUCUACCUUAUGUGUUAAAUUUAGAUUUAUUCUGAGAUGUGGGCUCAAGGAAUCAUGUGGCUUUAUGUGGAAUCAUGUGAUUUCUAUGGAAUCAUGUGGCUUUCUUUGUUUAUUUAAUUUCCCCAUCUUCUUCAUCCUCCACUAUCUUCACAAGAUCCCAUGAGUUCUAUUUGUUUCUGCAACUACAAAAGAGCCGAAAUUGGCA
rnacentral:lncRNA from 1 species